UCGUGUAGUAUAUGUGUAGCAUAUGUGGCGUGUAGAUAUGUGUAGCAUAUGUGUCGUGUAGUAUAUGUGUGCAUACGCUGGAUUUGGUCUCCAUUUGGUAUAGACAAAGCGUUGGUGCCAAAUCCAUGCGAUAUGCCGAAACAGAUGGCUUGGUACUUAUUUGGCAUAAAUGCGUACUUUCAAAUUCAUAACAAAUUGCUUACUGGGAAAUUAUAAUCAGAUCAUACUUCUUGCAUAACUAAGGAAUUGAGCUCAUCUUCUCCUGGGCACAAGACUGAAUCAAUGUUAUAAAAAGCAGCAUGUAAAGUUAUCAGGAACCAGGAUACACCUAAAGCACAAUACGUUUAUUAAAUAUUCAAUAAGAAUUUCUAUUUAAA